ACUCUGAUGCAUUGAUGCCGCGUGAGUGAAGAAGGCCUUUGGGUUGUAAAGCUCUUUUGUAGGGGAAGAUAAUGACUGUACCCUAAGAAUAAGGUCCGGCUAACUUCGUGCCAGCAGCCGCGGUAAUACGAAGGGACCUAGCGUAGUUCGGAAUUACUGGGCGUAAAGCGCGCGUAGGCCGUUGAGUUAGUUAAUUGUGAAAUCCCAAAGCUUAACUUUGGAACUGCAAUUAAAACUGCUCGACUAGAGUUUGAUAGAGGAAAGCGGAAUACAUAGUGUAGAGGUGAAAUUCGUAGAUAUUAUGUAGAACACCAGUUGCGAAGGCGGCUUUCUGGGUCAACACUGACGCUGAGGCGCGAAAGUAUGGGUAGCAACAGAGGGAUUUAGACUACCCAUCGAUAGAUCCAAUAACCCACUAAACGAAUGAUUGGCUAGAAUGUAGGACAAUUCUAUCUUUCAAGUAUUCGCAAGCUAACCGCACUUAGAGCAACUCCAGCCUGGCGGACGUACGACCUGCAAGGUUAAAACUCAAAUGAAUUGACGGGGACCCGCACAAGCGGUGGAGCAUGUGGUUUAAUUCGACGAUACGCGC
rnacentral:rRNA from 1 species